UACGAAGGGGGCUAGCGUUGUUCGGAUUUACUGGGCGUAAAGCGCACGUAGGCGGUUUGUUAAGUCAGAGGUGAAAUCCCGGAGCUCAACUCCGGAACUGCCUUUGAUACUGGCAAGCUAGAGUCCGGAAGAGGUAAGUGGAACUCCUAGUGUAGAGGUGAAAUUCGUAGAUAUUCGCAAGAACACCAGUGGCGAAGGCGGCCAACUGGUCCGGUACUGACGCUGAGGUGCGAAAAGCGUGGGGAGCAAACAGG
rnacentral:rRNA from 1 species